GACGGAUGGGGCUAGCGUUGUUCGGAAUUACUGGGCGUAAAGGGCGCGUAGGCGGCCAUUUAAGUUAGACGUGAAAGCCCUGGGCUUAACCUAGGAACUGCGUUUAAUACUGGAUGGCUAGAGUAUGGUAGAGGAAAGCGGAAUUCCUAGUGUAGAGGUGAAAUUCGUAGAUAUUAGGAAGAACACCAAUGGCGAAGGCAGCUCUCUGGGACGGUACUGACGCUGAGACGCGAAAGCGUGGGGAGCGAACAGG
rnacentral:rRNA from 1 species